rnacentral:misc_RNA from 1 species
GGCACUAUUAACAGUAGUACCUUCACUCUUGGCUCGAUGCCAUACUCAGUUGGGCCAUGUCAACGAGCUCAACAAAUUGCAGUUCCCAGCCCACAUCAAACAUCUGAAAUGGAAACAAAUUCUUCGGAUAAACAAAGAGAAUUAGCAUUUGGAAGGAGCAAUGGCAUUGUCUCAGACAUGGGCUAUCAUUCUCCAAACCUCUAUGCAUUUUCUAUGAACAGAAGCGAUGACGAUGAUGAUGACUAUGGUGUAUUUCGCACUGAUUCUGAAACGAGGCAUUUUCCCCAAGACACUGAGUAUUUUCAUCAAGUUGAGUUUGAUGACAUGAGCAAUGAUGAG